rnacentral:rRNA from 1 species
CACCGCCCGUCACACCAUGGGAGUUGAUUGCACCAGAAGUAGGUAGCCUAACUGCAAGGAGGGCGCUUACCACGGUGUGGUCAAUGACUGGGGUG